rnacentral:rRNA from 1 species
AAACCAACAGGGAUUGCCUUAGUAGCGGCGAGUGAAGCGGCAAAAGCUCAGAUUUGAAAGCCUUUUUUGGCAUUGUAUUCUGAAGCCUUUAUCCUGAGAAACCGGUGCCCAAGUCUCCUGGAAAGGAGCGCCAUGGAGGGUGACAGCCCCGUACGGCACCGAUCUCAUUGUAGGAUUUGGGCGUGGAGUCGAGUUGUUUGGGAAUGCAGCUCAAACGGGUGGUAUGCUCCAUCUAAAGCUAAAUAUCUGCGAAAGACCGAUAGCGAACAAGUACUGUGAAGGAAAGAUGAAAAGAACUUUGAAAAGAGAGUGAAAUAGUACGUGAAAUUGUUGAAAUGGAAGGGUAGGCCGCUAACCACGCAGGGUCGUGUUCGAGGGGAGGAUAAAAGCCGGGAAAUGUGGCUCUUCGGAGUGUUAUAGUCCCGGUCAAUACUCCCAUUUGGGCGCGAGGAUCUCAGACCCUGCUAAAUGGUGGUCUACCAC